rnacentral:rRNA from 1 species
UACGUAGGGGGCAAGCGUUGUCCGGAAUCAUUGGGCGUAAAGAGCGUGUAGGCGGCUUGGUAAGUCCGCUGUGAAAGUCCAGGGCUCAACCCUGGAAUGCCGGUGGAAACUGUCAAGCUUGAGUCCGGAAGAGGCGAGUGGAAUUCUUGGUGUAGCGGUGAAAUGCGCAGAUAUCAGGAGGAACACCAAUGGCGAAGGCAGCUCGCUGGGACGGUACUGACGCUGAGACGCGAAAGCGUGGGGAGCAAACAGG